CCAGAGUGCAGAGCCAGAACAGAGUUGUGCUGAUACUCCAGUGUUUCUAGCUAAGCCACCAAUUGGGUUUUUCACAGAUUAUGAAAUUGGUCCAGUUUAUGAGAUGGUAAUUGCGCUGCAGAACACCACCACGACCAGCCGCUACCUGCGAGUCCUCCCGCCUUCCACGCCAUACUUUGCUCUAGGACUGGUGUCACCGGUGUUGGACUGUGGUUACUGC
rnacentral:sRNA from 1 species